rnacentral:ncRNA from 1 species
CUAGAAACGUAGAUGGGGAGCAGUAAGUGGUGUAACCCUACAGAGAGCCGCUGGUAGGUGUAAGGCGGUGGGUAAAAUUACUGAACUCGCCCCGGAGUUGUUUGAGGGAAAUAAAGUACCUUAAACCGGGUUUGCCCGAUACAGCUCACAAGAGGGUAAGAGAUUGCUUACCAAUCAGGGUGGUACCGCGGGAAAACCUCUCGUCCCUUUU